GGGUCCAUAGAUGACAUGCCAUUCGAUAGAUAUUUAUUCUGGUGUUCCAGGAAAACAAAUAACGGUACAGCUUAAGCGAAAAGAAAAACAUCUUACUGUCAGUGUCUAAGCUCCUUUAACAACGGAAUGUGUCUGAGACCUUGUGUACGGAUACACGUGUACUUAAAACAGCCCCGCCAGUGUGCAGAGCUGUUAAGUCGACGACGGUUUGUGGGAGCUACCGCAGUUAAGCCUCAGAACAACUUUAUGAGAAUCAGGAGGUUCGACAGUGUUGAAGGUACUGAUGGAUACAGGCACACUGACAGCCAUGAAAGUGAGAACUGAAUGUAUUUUCCAGGAGAGAUGGCCUAUAUCUUUUUGUUAACUCCAGCUCCUGCCAAGUGUUUGACACAUAAAAGAUGUUCAGUGAAUGUUGGAUUGGUUCCUGGAAGUGGAACUACUGUAUCAAAGAUACGUUUGGAAGACUCCAGAAAGCCUCUGACAGCCACUAUUCUACUUUCUGUCUUUAUGAAUUUGGCUACUCUAGGUGUGUCCUCUCUAUUUGAAGUGUGAUACCUUUUAUAGCUCUGUUGCUGCCCAGCAGUGCGAUCCUAGGAGCGCCCAGCGCGGCCAGACGCCCUUUGGGGUUUCCUCCCCACAGCCCUCGGCAGAGCGGAACGGCAGCGCCGCCCCCCUGCCCCCCGCGCCCCCGCCCACGGCCGGGUCGGCUCGGUGGUCCGGCUCAGCGGGGCUGGGGAAGUGAGAGCUGCUAACCCGCCGAGGCUGUACUCACUACUGGCUGAAUCCACAUGAAGCCAGAAGGGAAGGAAGCUCUUGAGGCAGUCGACCCCUGGGGCAGAGGGCGGGUAGAGAAGCAUGGAAAGUGGAUCUGGGCAAGCAGAAGAUAGCGCUGUCAUUUCUGCAUGUUACAGAAGAGAAAACUGAGACCUCAAGAAGGGAAAUAGCUAGUGGAGGAAGCAAGAUCGGACAAACAGUCACAAUGGCGGAACUGAUGAGAGGUUUCAUGUUUCUUAGCUAUUGAUGUGCAUUACCCCACUGAAUUCCCACAGCAGCCCUAGGAAUUAGGCUUCUUUAUUAUGCCCAGUGAACACAGGAGGAAACUGAAGCUUGGAGGCUUGACUCAUAAAGUGGCAGAUGAGGACCGGGGAUCUAAAACCACAACUGCAACUUUGCCUUUCAUUGUGGGGUUUAGAAAUAGUGUCUUGUUGGUUCUGCUUAGACUGAUUUGUUGCAAGAGGGUCAGUCCCCUGCUUAGAUGUUCUCACAGGAUACCACUCUCCCUGACAGUGGAUUCCUCUGGAGCUGCUUUCCCUCCUGCCUGGCCUGGAAAGCAGUGCUCUCCUUCUGAGGGACCCUGAUGGGCCCACCACAGUAGGGGGAGAGGCAGCAGGGUAAGGCAAGGGAGACACUUACCUGGGAUACAAAGUUUAAGGAGACACUUAAAAUUCAACAAUCAAGAUACAUAAUAUUUUAAUGUUGUAUUUUAAUAUCUAUAAAUAUUAACUGGCACAACAAUGUAAAUCAGCUAUAGUUUAAUAAAAAUUUAAAAAAUAAAAUAAAAUGCAUCUCCAAAAAUAAAUAGAAUUAUGAAAAUAUUAGGCACUUAAGAUAUUUUCUUGAAAAAUCCCCCUCUGGACAAAUUACCAAUAUUUAAAAUAAAGACAGGACCAAUAUGGUCUGAGUCAUAUGGUAUCAGAUCCCUGGAUGGAGACAGACAGGAAGGUGAGCCCUCUGCUCAUGGCCACCCCUUCUGUCCUCAUUCCCAUAGGGCCUUCUUGGGCUCUGCAUCACAUUUUGGCUCCUCAGUCCACCUCUCUACACCACUGUGUACACAGACCUCCUGCACAGAGUCAUCCUGAGGGAGCAGAGCCUGAAUGCUGGUGCUUCUGUCAGCAUCACCCAAAACAAUACGAUAUGUCUUCAUUCACAGCUCUUUUUUGUGUGUGUCUUUUUAGGCCCGCAGCAUAUGGAGGUUCCCAGGCUAGGGGUUGAAUCAGAAUUGUAGCUGCUGGCCUAUGCCACAGCCACAGCCACACGGGAUUGGAGCCGCGUUGGCGAUCUACACCGCAGCUCAUGGCAAUGCUGGAUCCUUAACCCAUUGAGCAAGUCCAGGGAUCAAACCUGCAUCCUCAUGGAUGCUAGUCAGAUUGGUUUCCGCUGAGCCACGACAGGGACUCCUGCAGCUCUUUUUAAAAAGUGAGGAUGGCAUUUUCCAAUGAUAGGCUAAAAAGUUAAGCCUCUUCUCUUCCACCUUUUCUCUCCAAAACUCAAUUAAGGGAGCUGUUGUAAAAAGAAAAUAGUCGGUGCCUUUCCAAUUUUAGACCUGUGUAUUGGGCCACUCUUAGUUUUUCUUUUCCGUAUUUACUACUCGGGGUGUCAACUUAAGAAAACACUGGCUCUCCUGCUGGCACGUCAGCUGGGACACAUGUGCUGAUCUCUUCCAAAAGCAUUGAGGAAUUGUCUAGUCCCAGUGGCCUUGGGUUUUGAGGACUCAACCCAGCAUUCAUGCUUUUGAAUAUGAAUAUGACUGCUUCCCACCCCAAAAGACAUUUUAUUUAUUAUUUUAAAAAUAUUUUCUUUGGGCUUCUUUAAUCCUAGGGGACAUUUGCUUGAUGAAUAGCAAAUAAGGUCUCUAACCAGACUGUUGUUAUAAAUAUCCGUGGCAUUAAUUCAAACCAUUUGCAUCGGAAACUUUUUUUUUUUUUUCCUCUGGAGGAAAAAGAGUGGCUGACUUAACCUUAACAGUUGGGACAUGAUUUUCCCUAAAAUAACCACAACAUCCAUCAUUUUUUUUCCUGCUGGUGUGUCAAUUUUUUAAUGAGAGACUGGGUCCCUCCAGUACCUUUGGUCUCCGUAGUAACAGUUCCAUGUGUUUAUUCUGGCUUACUGAAAUAAAACACUGAGGAAAAGGUCAGUGACUCAUUUUUGAUUGGAGGGUUACUCUAAUUAGAGGAUGAUUAUUUAAAAGUUGAUCACUAACACAAAGAUAUGUGGUUAGAAAUAAGAUCCAUGACAGGCAUUUUAAAUGACAAAUUAUAAAACUUUUAGGCAGUCAGAUGUUUCCAAACUUUGGCUGUUUCUUUACAGGUGCAGGUGUUUUCAAGAUUAUUAUUGUUUCAUCCAUGUAUAACCAACCUUGACUUCCUGCCAUUCCCUCCUGGUACCAAGAUCUGAGUAAUGCAUUAAGUAAUGGAUUAAAGUGUCCAGAAUGACUAAUGCAGUUAUAGGAGUCUAUUUGGACUUAUGGUAUAUGCAUCUGUGAUGAGCUGAAUCAAUACAAUAAAGUCUUUCUGAGGUGACCACUGAGUGGCUGGGAGAGGUGGAAACAUUGCUUGAGUUCCAGUCUUCCUAUUGCCUCUGUCUCUUCAAGUUGGGUUUUCUAUCUGUGGGAAGGCAGAAAGGGGCCCACCAUGCUUUUGGAUGGUUGCCUUGGGUUGCCACUGCUGGAUUUAGUAAGCAUCAUGCCUCUCUUUCCUCAUCUGAAAGAUGGGAGCAACUGAAGAAUCUGCAUCCUAAGAUGUUUCAGGAGAUUAAAUGCAGUCAUGAUGUAUGCAUGGUGUUUAGCAAAGUGCAGGCUUUUAGUAAACACCUAAUUAAUGUUGGCUGUUAAAAUUAUUCUUUUUACCUUCAUUAUUAGAUCUGCAUUCUAGCCUUUGGAUUGAGUUCCUAGUUGAAAAUUUAUUUAAGACUCUGGGUGGCAAAUGAAAUGUUCACUUUAAGAAGCAAGAAGUCAGUUUGAGCAGAUAUGGGAGUAUUUGUCUGUGAGGAGUUUUACUCCCUUAAGUCUCCGUGAAACC
rnacentral:lncRNA from 1 species